GCUGGCGGUAGGCCUAACACAUGCAAGUCGAACGGCAGCAACGAGGGAGCUUGCUCCCUUGGUGGCGAGUGGCGGACGGGUGAGGAAUACAUCGGAAUCUACCCUGUCGUGGGGGAUAACCUCGGGAAACCGGGACUAAUACCGCAUACGACCUUCGGGUGAAAGUAGGGGAUCGCAAGACCUUACGCGAUUGGAUGAGCCGAUGUCGGAUUAGCUUGUUGGCGGGGUAAAAGCCCACCAAGGCGACGAUCCGUAGCUGGUCUGAGAGGAUGAUCAGCCACACUGGAACUGAGACACGGUCCAGACUCCUACGGGAGGCAGCAGUGGGGAAUAUUGGACAAUGGGCGCAAGCCUGAUCCAGCCAUACCGCGUGGGUGAAGAAGGCCUUCGGGUUGUAAAGCCCUUUUGUUGGGAAAGAAAUCCUGUCGGUUAAUACCCGGUAGGUAUGACGGUACCCAAAGAAUAAGCACGGCAACUU
rnacentral:rRNA from 1 species